AUCCAGUUGACGAGUCCAAAAGAAGACGGAAUGCUCGUCCCGGAU
rnacentral:hammerhead_ribozyme from 1 species